AGAAGAUAGCAGCUUCAGUUAAAAAAUAUUUUUUGGAGCACUUAGCAGAGUGAGUUAGAAAGCUUAGUGGCCUUCAUUGGUGGGAGAGGACUAAAGAGAAAUGCACGAAGCAAUUUAGGUGAGAGCAGUUGAAGUUUAGGGUAAAACAGGUCGAUAGUGACAUUAGAUUAUGGGGAUUAGUUGCCAGAGUUCUUUUGCGUACAACCGCCUUUUGAAAGCUUGCUUCUCUGCCCCCAUCCUUGUCCAAUUUUGUGGGCUUUGCUUCCUACUUGAACUUUUUGAUUGUGCUGCCUUCUUAAAGGCUGUUUAUUGCUGAUUUUUUUGUGUCGAAACUUGACAUUUUUGCAUGUAGAAUUUGUUUCAAAUACUAUCCAAAUCUCCCUCUUCAGUUUAUGGGGGGAGAAAAAGAGCCUUUCUUGUGUACCAAAUUCAACCCUUCCAUUUUGAUGUCAAUUCUGACUUUACUGAGGAUAUCCUUGACUUUCAUGUUAAAUAAAUUUAACCUUCUCACUUUUUGCUUUCCUUGACUGACUUAUUUGGUUUCCUGAAGCUAAAAUAUCAAGAUUUUUUUUUUUCUUUUCUCUCUUUCGCAAAUACAAAUCUCUCUAAAACACUCAGAGAUCUAGUUGGGGAAUUUAAUAAGGUUUUCCUUGUUAUUUGGUUGUACUAUUCUGAGACUGUCCGUUGGGAAUUUCGUUUACCCAUAAGAGAAUGACAUGCUAACAUAAAGCGAUUGCAAAUUUUAUUUCUAAACUAAUAUGAAUAUGUCCAUGUGAUUACUUAAAUGUGAAUGUGUAAUUUACAUAAAGAUUUUAAAAGGAGUAGUUCUCAAACCUAUGGAUGUAUAUAUUAAUUUAUUCUUACCUAUAUUAUUUUGGGGGUAGUAAGAUGGGGCACAUGGAGAAUUUUAAAAAGCAUUUUCCUAUUAUCUGUAUUUCCUAAACAUUAUGGGAUAAUAAGGUUGGAAUAGAGAGAGAAAAUUGCAAACAUACCCUGACUUUCCACUGGCUGGAUGCACAUUAUCUUUAUCUUUAUUUAUUAAUAAAAGAUGGAAUGCCUUGGAAAACAAAGGUUUUAAUGGCCGGUGCUUGGUAUCCUUGACAACGGUCCCGAAAGAAUAUUACAUUAGGGCACCAGAGAACUUUUAAAAAUAAGUAAUGGAAUUCCGUCUCUGUUAUGCUUUUAGUAGUCAUUUCGGCCAUGGUGCAGCGAGGUCAUAAGCUGAGCUCAGUGAAGGGAGCCAGAACAUGAAAUGAUGCUGAGAGAACGUCUGGGAGAUGAGAGGUCACAUUGAAUGUGAAGAAUAUUAACACUGGCAACAACUCUACAACUGACUGUUUUAUCUACCAGAAUGUCAGUUUUUAAGAAAAUCUUAGUGUUUAGAAACAAAAAAUCAAGAAAAAUCCUAGGUAUAUGUAUUUUGAUAUAUUUAUAAUGGAUUCAUCACAUUAUCUUUUCAGGCAUUAAAAUAUACUAUACAGAAUGUCAAAAUAUUACCAGAAUGUAAGCUAGCAUUCUUUGAGUGGGUAUUUUGGUUCUGAAAAGUAUGCUUAAAUAUUACAGGUGUUUAAAUUAAAAAUGUCAAACCAUGAAGGCAUAAUGGAAGUAAUCAUUUUUACAUAGUUUUAAGCAGUACAGGAUUUGAAAAAAGCUUUGCAUGCCAGACUAUUGUGAAUGAGUGGAGUUCAUAAGAAUUCAAAGGACAAAAGAGAUCAUUAUGCUUUGUUACCUCAGCUAGUUCAUUACCUUAAUUGCUGAGCUUAAUCCAGUCUUGGAAGAAAACUCUGGGGCUUUCAGAAGAUCAACACCGGCACCUUAUGGCACGGAAAAUGGAAACUCUUUCCUGUACCAUUGCUACUCCAGGAACACUAAACCUUGAUCAAAGGCUGAACUUUUCUUAAGGUCGGCCAUUGAACAUCCCCUGGAGCUGUACCAUUCGCUGAACCGUAAUGAAGUUUAGUAGGUUCAGCACCAUUUCUCCCUGACUGUGACCGUCCUGGAUCACUGGCUAGCAAUAGCAUGUUAUCAGCCUUUCAGAUAGGUGAGGUUUAAACAUAGUUAUGGUUAGUAGUAUAGUAUGCUUAAAAAACAAAAAACAAAAAAAAAACUCCUUGCAUAUUAUAGGAACUGAACAAACUACUACUGAUAAUGUAACUACUUUCAUCAGGAAGCAGGAUGUGGUGAUUUUUAUUUCAGUCCUUUUGAGGGGACUGAUUGCCUAUUGUUUUCUGUACCUAAAUCUCUCAGAAAAUCUUGUAAAUUUCUUAACCAAUAUUCUUUUCCAGAAAGUCAUUUACGAUGUAGUAUGGAUGCAACUGUGAAAUGAUUCAGUAUUGUCUGAAUUACCCGGGCAACAACUUAGCUUAUUUUUUGAGGAUAGUUUUUACUUACAGAAUGUAUACAGUUGCAUACAUUAGGCUUUGAAAAAAUAGACUAAAAAAAAAAAAGACCUUUAAAAGCAUGGUCGAGUUGCAUUCAUUUUAUAACCAUCAAAACAACUCUGUACUGUUGUAAGGUAGAAAAAUCAAUGAUGCAAUCUUUUUCCUUUUGCCUCGUGCAAUCCGUAAUUGAAAUGGAAAAUCAAAUGAACGGCUAACAGAUAAUUGUUUUAUCAAUAUUCCCUGCCUGCCCUACAAGGGUCAGCGUAGAAUGAUCAUGAGCCAGGGAUAUGAUGAGGACAAAAUGUGAAAUUGAACAGCAAGGAGGCAAUAAAUCAGCCUUGACAAGAAAGAGUGACCAGCAUGUAGCUGUUGUAGGCAGCUUUGGGGACAGUUUGUGUCUCAGGUGUCUGCCCUGAUUUAAAAAUGUGAGUAUAUAAUAUUUGAAGCUUUGCCACCAUUAAGCCUGGCUAUUUCUAGAUCAUAGUACCAUGAGACAAUAUACUACUUAAGAAAACCCAAGUGAGUACUAGGACCAGAAUAAAUUAAAGAAAAGAAAAAAGAAAUAAAAAUGUUGAAAUAAAUUUUCAAAAUUUAGGUAUUCUAUGCUGAUAGUUGUUUGACUAAUUUUUAAAUGUAAUAAAUGACUUUUUUUUGCAUUGUUGCAUUCAUGCAGUAGGCCUUGAUGUAAAAUGAAACUAAUUCACUGAAUUUGUCUAAAUAUAUUCUAUAGAGUUUGUAAAGAUAAAGUAAAUAAUAAUUUCUUUUUUUUAAUUUCGAGAGGAAUUAUGUGAGUUGAAGAUGGCAUCUGAGGAAGGAAGAUCCCCCCCCCAAAAAAACAUGAAGUAUCUGCUCAUGAUUUCUUUAAUUUUCUUUAUUUUCCUGUCAUCUAGAAAUGAUUAUAGACAUGGCAGAGAAACACCAUUAUAAAUACUUAGUAGUUGCAAAUAGUAUAUAUGAUUAUGGGAUUAAUAUUACUGCUCAUGUCCACAUUAAAACUAGAUAAUUUCAGACAUUAUCAAAACAUGCCUUUUAAGAGUUGAGUUUAUUCCGUGUAGAUGAAGGUGUAGGGAAAUAUGGACUGUUACACAUGUUGCUUAUAGGAGUGUAAACUGGCACAAAUUUUAAGGCCAUUUAAGUAAUGAGUGUAUUUCAAAAUCCUUAAACAGAUUCAUUCUCAAAUAGUUUACUUUUAGAAGUUAAUACUGAGGAAACAAUCAGAUGUAUACAUAAAGAUACACAUACAGGGAUGGUCACUGUAGCAAGAUUCUUACUCUCUCAAACUUUUAUUAAGGUAAAUUUUAAGCCACACAACUGAAGAUAGGCUAGUAGAACCCCAUCACCCAGCACAAUCAAUGCAUGGCCAAUCCUACCCCAUUCUUACCUCCAUCAACUUUAUCCAUCCCAUAUUUCUUAAGGUAAAUCCAAGAAAUAUUAUUUCACUUGUAAAUAUUUCAGUAUGUACCUCUAAGAAAUAAGGAGUUAAAAAAUAAUAAUUUAGUCCCUGUACCAUUAUUACACCAAAAAUUAAUAAUUUCUUAAUGUCAUCAUGUAUCUGAACAGUUUGUUUGAAUCAGGGCACAGAUAAAGUCUAUCCAUUGUAAUUGGUUAAUAUAUUCUUUUAAGUCUUUUUUAAUUUAAAGGUUCUUUUCAAUUUCUUCUUUUUUUCCUUGCACUUUUUUGUUGGACAUUGGUUUUUUGUUCUGUAAUUUUCCAGUGGAUUUUGCUGAUUACAUCCCCAUGGUAUAGUUUCACAUGUUUCUCUGUUCUUUGUAUUUCCUGUAAAUUGGCAGUUGGAUCUAUAGCCUUAAUCAGAGUAAGCUCUAAUUUUUUUUCUUUGCAAGAUUGUUUCGUAGGUUAUGUUCUUAUAUCAAGUGGCACAUAAUGUCUGCCUUUCUCUCUUUUUUAUGAUGUCACCAGCUCAGUGCCUAGAUCUGUUAGUUUAUUUGGAGUUUGUAAAAUGGAGAUACUCUGUUAUUCCUUUUUCAUUUCUUAGUUGGAAUCAUUUAUACGGAGAAGCUUCCCUGUAUUUACUAUUUGGUCACUUAAUGAUUGAGUAUGGAACAUUAUUCCUAAUAGGACAAAAUUGAAAACAACCUUAAUGUCUAAUAAUAGGUGAUUUGGUUGACUUAUGCUACAGCCAUAUGGUAGAAUAUCAUAUAAUUAUUUUAAAUCAUGUUUUAGAAGAAUACCUAAUAAUAUGGAAUGUGUUCAAUAUAUUAAAUUUAAAAAGUAGUUUUAAAAACAGUAGUAUAACAUGUUCCUGGAUUUUUUUCCCCAAGUACUUCCAUAUAGGAAAAAAAUGCCAAAAGAAUAAAGACCAAAACAUAUUGCAUAAUGGUUACCUCUCAGUAGUGUAAUUAUGAUUUUUAAAUAUUUUCUUCUUUAUACUUGUCUGUAUUUUUCAGCUUUUCCACAGAGGUCAUGUAUUCAUUUUAUAAUACAUUUUUUUUCUUAACUAUUUUCUUCAAAUGAGCAAAAAGGGCCCAGGGACUGUGUUUACUCUAGUAGGUUAUCUUGUCAAGUCUUUUAACCCAUGAAUUUAACCUUUAGAAUGGCUGUAAUUACAGAGGCACAAAUAGAUUUUGCAACCUAAAUUAAGUGCUAUCUUUAGCUUUUUGAGGUAGGUGUGUUUCUUAUUAUCUUUAUGUGCCCAGUUUGCCUUGCACAGGACUUGGUAUAGAACAGCAUCGGUAAAUGCAUGUUGAAUUGAAUAGGUACUAGAGUAGGCUGACAUAGAGUCGUUGCUGGCCUAACAUGUUGACAUUCAUGUCCAGUUUCUUAUUGCUCUUUUAUCCUGCAUAACUUACUUAACUUACACAGAGUGAAAUAUUUACACCUCUGCUUUAGAGAGCUAAUAAUCUCUAGUUUGGAGCCUGUGGACUUCACAUAGAGUGUUUCAGAUGUUCCAUACUGUCUCUUAAAUAGUGAUCUGUCCUUCUAAAUCAUCUAAAAUCACCUCAUUGUAUAGUCUCUUGGUUCCAACAGUUUUCUUUUUACAUUUGGUUUUCUGUUUUGUUCUAUUUUUUUUGAUUUUUUAGUUUUUCAAGGGGAAAUUCAUUGUCUAUAUGAUUUACUUUGAAACUUGAUGACGUCUAGAUGAUCAUAUCUAGUUUCAUGUGUCAUUAUUUUGUCUUCCUAUGAAAACUCUUGUGUUUUAUUUCUUAUUUUCUUCUCAGUAUCUAGCACUGGGCUAUUCUGAUGGCAGAUGCUCAAUAAAUAGUUGUUGAAUUACUUAGAAUGUUGCUAUUGGAUUAUUGAUAUAAAGGUUAAGUAUUAUUAUGGUCAGUAAUUUUUAGGUUGAAAAAGAUGCAAGAAAAAUAAGUUUUUUUUACUACAUUGUCCUCAAAAUUUAGUGUGGAAUUAGAAAUAGAAAGUUCUUUAAAGUUCUAGUUCUUUCAAAAAAUAUUUACUGACUAUCUAAUAUGUGUCAGGCAUUGUUCUAGGUUGUGGAGAUAAAGCAAUGAACAAAACAGUCAAAAAUGCCUUUCUUUUUCUUGUGGCUCUCAUCAUCCAUAGAUUUCUACCAUAUAUAUUCUGUGAUACUAUAUAAUGGUUCCCAUGGAGCCUUCAGCAACAUUUUAAAUAUGUACUGAAGAUUGAUCUAGAGCCAACUAGUGAAAAUUAGUACCGAUUAGCUUUUAUAUGGUUUUACUGCUGGUUGUGUAAUAGCUUGGUAGUGAGAAGAAAGGAAAGAAACAUUUAUUGAACACUUACUAUGUGCCAGGCACUCUUUAGGAGUUUUGACAUACCUUAUGUCAUUUAAUCUUCAUAGAAGCCCUGAAAGGCAGGUAUCGUUUCCAUUUUCAUAACGAGAAAAUUCAGUCUCAGAGAUAUUAAGUAGUUUGCCCAGGAUCACAUAGCUAAUGAGUGACAGAGCCUUACUCAAACAAAAAUCCUUCUAAUUUCAAAGUGUUUCUUUACCAUGUUUCUAAUUCCAAAGUGUUUCAUUACCAUGUUUCGUUGAUUCUAAGAUGUUCAUUUUCUCCCCACAUUUAAACGUUUCUGAAAUCAGUAUGCUUCUUUCACAAUUAAUGUCAUGUCAUAGUUUAAUUGGCAGAAUUUUUUCUUUCUCUACAGUAGCACAUAAAAUCAUGGUUGAGUCUUACAACUGAUGAUGUCUUUGAUGAAAUAUAAUUAUGUACAUUUUGGUAACACCCUAGAGAUUUAUAUACAUCGUACUUCCUAAAGGCUCUGAAGAAGCUAUUUGAAUUGUCAGAAUAUUAAUUUGUUUUUAAUAGUUUAGAAUAUGUUAGAUAAAUACUUACAGUUGACUUUGCAAGUUUUUUCUUUUUACUUAUUCUGUGGCGUAACUAUGUUUGGGUGUUUUGGGAACAUCUGUUAACAUAUCAGCAAACUGUAGGUACAAGGGUAAGUCAAAAAGCAUUGCUGCUGGGGUUCCAGUUCAUACAUGCACGGGCUUAUUCCAAACAAAACAUGUUUAAACAUGUCUCUUUAGUCAGUGGAUGGUUGCACAUAAAUUCUCUCAGUAAUACACUUGUCUUAGUUUUAUUAGGAUCCCUUCGAAAAAAAAAAAAAGGAUACUUUUUGUGUAAUGGCAAACAAUGAUUUUGAGGUCAGGGCUAAUAUAAAGUUUUUAACAAAGCUCAAGUGGACAUCUUCCCAAAUCAUUGAAGCUUUGCCACAAGUUUAUGGGAAUGUUGCUGCACAUAAAACAACAGUUUUUAGAUGGGUCAAACGUUCUAAGGAAGGUUCGGAAGACUCACUUACAAGGUUAUGGUGACUGUUUUUUGGGAUUCCAAAGUGGUAAUCUUGAUAGAUUUUCUCGAAGGACACAGGACAAGCAUGAGGGCUUAUUAUGAAGAAGUUUUAAGAAAAUUGAAAACUGCACUGGUAAGAAAAAGGCCAGGAAACUGGCACUGAGGAAUUUUUUUCCAUCAGGGCAGUGCACCUGCUCAUCCUUCUAGGGUAGCUGUCCUACAAGAAUUAUGUUGGGAAACCUUACCCCAUCCACCCUACAGCCCUUAUCUUGACCCUUCAUACUUCUUUUUGUUCCCAAAACUCAAAGAGCGUUUAAAAGGAACACGAUUUGGGUCCCCCAGGGAUGCCAACACUACCGUUUUGACAUGGUAUAAACUGAAGAGUGCAGAAUUCUUUGGGGAAGGGUUAGUUAGAGAGAUGGAAACACCACCUUCAGGAAUGUGUGGACCUAAAUGGAAGAUAUGUCGAUAAAACAAUAGCUUUUCAUUUUGAUAUUUUUGUUUACUAAAGGUUUCUAUGAUUUUGUAGCAGUACUUUUUGACUUGCUCUCCUAUAUUAGGUUAUGAGUAUAUUUUGAAGAAUUACAUAUUAUAUGCGUUCUGUUAUAAUGUGUAAUGGUUCCAAAGGAGCCAUCAGGCUUUUCAAGUCAUUAACUCGCUUUUUUUAAGCCCUUAAAUAUAUAUUUAAAUGAAUCACUAACUGAUUUCAAGAUCUAUGUCUCUAUUUCUUUUGUAAUUAACACUGGCAAGAGGCAACCUAGUAGAAAUUAAUAUACGAAUUGUAGUUUAUAAGCUUACUGACAAAAAUAAAGUGAAAAAUGCCUAGUUUCUUUGAGUUUUAUUUUACUCCAUCUAUUUCCUUGAGUGUCUGCAGAAUUUUCUAGAGAUGGGAGGUUUGGCACAAUUUGGAACAUAUGUGUCUUUGAGUUUCAUGUGUUGUUCUAACUGAUGUCAAAAGGAGUUUUUGUACGGGCAGUCUGAAGGCAGUCCAUGGCAUUUAGUAUCUAGAAGUUGAGAAUUAAGUUUGAGAGAAAUGCUGACUUGUGCUGUUUUUUGUUUUUUUUAAUUUUUAUUGUGCUUUAAGUGAAAGUUAACAAAUCAAGUCAGCCUCUCAUACAAAAUUUAUAUACACCUUGCUAUAUACUCCUAGUUGCUCUCCCCCUAAUGAGACGGUAUACUCCUCUCCACCCUCUAUUUUCAUGUCUAUUCAGCCAGCUUCUGUCCCCCUUCUGCCUUCUCAUCUCCCCUCCAGACAGGAGCUGCCCACAUAGUCUCAUAUGUCUACUUGAUCCAAGAAGCUCACUCUUCACCGGUAUCAUUUUCUAUCUUAUAGUCCAGUCCAAUCCCUGUCUGAAGAGUUGGCUUUGGGAAUGGUUCCUGUCUUGGGCUAACAGAAGACCUGGGGACCAUGACCUCCGGGGUCCUUCUAGUCUUAGUCAGACCAUUAUGACUUGUGCUUUUUUGACAUGGUUUAUCUUUUGAAAAAUACUGAUACUUUUCAUAGCAUUUCUUACUAAUUAUUUAAAUAUCCAAACCACAGAAAACAUUAUUGUUUUCAUGUAAUAAGUAGUCUUUAGGUCAGGUAGUAUGUGAUUGGUAUAAGAAUUCAUUUACAUUAAGAAAAUUAGAACUCUUUUAAGAUUCAGUAAGAAUAAUAAAUUCUGUAAUGUACUGAGAAAUUAUAAUUUACUAAACUUCUCCCCUUAUUUUUUUACAGAAGUAUAAAUAGCAUAUGAAUUGUUUAUAAGCCUUAUAAAAGCUAAAGAAAACUCUUUGAGAAAGUCAACAUUUUAAAUCAUGCUAAGUCUCUUCCUAUUUUUACUCAUCCUCUUGCAGAGCAUUGACAAAAAUAUGAAAUUGAUUUGGUUGAAGGGUGUUAAAGAGCCGACAGCCAAAUGUCACAAACAAUGAAUGGCCGCAGUGUUGAAAAAAUCAAUAGGGAGGUUAAGCUGGUCUUGUGAAAGACUUGGCAGGCUGCUCUGUUCCAGGAAGAUAUCUGUCUUCUGGGCUUGGUUGCAUGAUCAAAAGGAAAACUUGAUAGGUUUAAUGAAUGGAGAUACUGUAAAACUGACAACAGAAAUAUAGACACUGUGGUAAACUGUAGUGCACAUCAGUGAACAGAGCUAUUAGAUACAUUUUUCAGUCUGAAAAAAAUAUUAUAGGUAGAGAUGUCAAAAAUAUUAACAUUCUUUUACUUUUUUAUUGAUUCCUCUAUCAGCUAAUAAAUUUGCCUGAAGUAGACAAAGGUUUGUAUUUGGCUAAGUGUACAAUAAGAUGUUAAAUGUAUUGGACACAAUAAAUAAUUGCUGGGUUAAUCAGUAAACCAGUUUUUCAAAUCUGUUCAUUAUAACGUUUAAAAUCUGAAUCAAAAUUACUUUUGUUAGAUUAAGAGCCUGGGUAAAAAAGGCAGCCAUUGACAUGUCAAUGAAAAUAGAAGCUCCGUCAUUGAAAACCAAAGUGGGAUUUAUGAUUCAUUAGUUUACCCCACAGGCCAUUAGAAGAUAUUUUACAGAAGCAUCCUCUUUUACACUUUUAUUGAUAAACAGUAUGUUGGUCUAAAAAUGCUUCACUGUGAUUGUUCUGAUCAGAGCUGUAUAUUCUGAAGUAUGACAUUUUAAUUGAUAUCAAAUAAGAUUAAAAUCAUUUAUAGAUCAUAUUUCCUUGCAGUUUAUUGUAGUUCAUUGUUUAUCAGCUGCAUACCGAGUAAUAUCUUAUAUCUGCAGUAUUUUUUACCCGAAUUUCUUAACAACUCUUGUUAUGCUAUGAAAUCAGUUAUUUCUUGGGUGUUCUUUAUGCUAGGUGCUGAUAUAAGCUUUUUAAUUAAAGGCAUUUGUUUCUAAGUUUAGAGAUUUCAAAAAUUUUUUGGUGCUUUUAAAAAAAAAAUAGCUCUGUAUUAUUUUAUUAGCCAUCAUUAGAUGUGGCAGUCUCUUUGUGUAAGUCUGAGUUUAAGAAAAAUCAGUUAUUAGUUUAAAAUUUCUAAAUGUGAUAUUCAAUUCAGAGAAGAUGGUAACCUGUUUAAAAACAAAAAGACAAAUAAAAAGAGAAGAAGAAAAAAAAGGGAAAGAUGUCUGGCAGAUUUUCUGCAACUGGACGCUGUAAUAAAAAUGCCCCCUACUUUGUUGGGAUGGUAUUUGGAGGGUUGCUGCCAUAUGUUACUUUCCUUUUUAGCUGGGAUUAUGCCAUCAUUAUUGCUGAUAAAAGCUGUUUACUGCCUUGGCAAAGGAAUGAUGCUUGGAGCAGUUUUGGAAAACGCCAUUCAGUUUACAAAAAAGUUCAUUUAGUGCCAGAUGCUAGAAUCCUAGGUCUUUGUUAUCUUUUCCCAUUAUUAGAUCUAUCUAUUGUCUAUUUCUUUUUUCCAUUUUAUAACAGAAUGUUGUCUCUUACUACCUGUUUUAAUUCAAGCCAUUAAUGUGGAAGGUUAUCUAAAUUAUUGCAUUCCCAAUGUUAAUUGGGUCAGUACUAAAGAUGGGCAAUUUGGCUUUUAGAACCACUGACUAGAUUUGGAAUAAAUGCUGUAGUGUGCAGUGAGAUUCUGGUUUCUAAACACUCUGAAUGUGUAUUUUUUUUUAGUACCACUGGACAUCAAGGAGAAGUUGGUUUAGUAUUUGAAUAAACUGUUGGCUAAUGUGCAGUCUCUCGAAGCAUUGAAGAAGAGGGUUAUUUUGGCUCGGUUUGUCAAACGUUUUUAUGCUGUUAUGCAACAUGUUAAAUUUGAAAAAUAAAAAUUCUAAUGCUGUUUUCAAGAAAUGUUACAUCACAGUUAUAACUUUUUGUAAGAGUUUUUUCAUUUAGUUUUCUGAAAUCUGCUUUUAAGCACAAUAUUUGGUAGUGACUGUGUGAUUGGAUCGGUCUGCUUCAUGAAUUUGUAAAUGCAAAUAACAAAUAACUUUUUUGGUGAAAAUUAGGAUUUAGUACCUAGGCCUUUUGGUACAUGCUUAAUACUCUAGUCUAAGGCAAGGAAAUUGUUUUGUUUUCUGCCAGUGUUUUAUUAAGAUACCUUUAUCUUUAGGUCUCUAAGUUAAUCCUCCUCUUUCUCAGUUUACAGAACUGUUCUGUGAAGUCACUAUUUGUAUAGUAUGUGACUUAUUGGCUCACCCAGAGGUCAACCCUUUACCUUGGCCAUGUUGGCAUUGUUUUUCAACCAUUUAUUUCCAGACCUCAGAAUUCAAAUUGUACUCCUAGCUUGAGUUUAGAAUUACUUUAAGUGCAAAAAUUAACUCCUGUAAAUAAUGCUGACAAAUUAGAGUCUCUCUGGCUUAUCUCAAAAUGUAACCCAUAGUUCUAUACAUAGUUUUCCUAGCUAUACUUUUAUAUUUUCUCUGUCACCAGGAGGACUAGGUCCAAAAAUUUGUAUAAAAAUCACACUCUUAGUGAAAUCAUU